GACCAGAUGGCCUAGUGGUAUUUAGGGGGUACACUACCAAUAUGAAGGUCACGGGUUCAAUCCCCUCUUGGGACC